rnacentral:rRNA from 1 species
UACGUAGGGGGCGAGCGUUGUCCGGAAUCAUUGGGCGUAAAGCGCGUGUAGGCGGCCCGGUAAGUCCGCUGUGAAAGUCGGGGGCUCAACCCUCGGAUGCCGGUGGAUACUGUCGGGCUAGAGUGCGGGAGAGGCGAGUGGAAUUCCUGGUGUAGCGGUGAAAUGCGCAGAUAUCAGGAGGAACACCAAUUGCGAAGGCAGCUCGCUGGAACGUUACUGACGCUGAGACGCGAAAGCGUGGGGAGCAAACAGG